rnacentral:rRNA from 1 species
GGGUUGUGAGGUUAAGCGACUAAGCGUACACGGUGGAUGCCCUGGCAGUCAGAGGCGAUGAAGGACGUGCUAAUCUGCGAUAAGCGCCGGUAAGGUGAUAUGAACCGUUAUAACCGGCGAUUUCCGAAUGGGGAAACCCAGUGUGACUCGUCACACUAUCAUUAACUGAAUCCAUAGGUUAAUGAGGCGAACCGGGGGAACUGAAACAUCUAAGUACCCCGAGGAAAAGAAAUCAACCGAGAUUCCCCCAGUAGCGGCGAGCGAACGGGGAGGAGCCCAGAGCCUGAAUCAGCAUGUGUGUUAGUGGAAGCGUCUGGAAAGGCGCGCGAUACAGGGUGACAGCCCCGUACACAAAAGCGCAUGUGCUGUGAGCUCGAUGAGUAGGGCGGGACACGUGGUAUCCUGUCUGAAUAUGGGGGGACCAUCCUCCAAGGCUAAAUACUCCUGACUGACCGAUAGUGAACCAGUACCGUGAGGGAAAGGCGAAAAGAACCCCGGCGAGGGGAGUGAAAAAGAACCUGAAACCGUGUACGUACAAGCAGUGGGAGCCCCACCACUAAGCCAGUGGUGAACUCCACAUACGCAUCCUUUGCUGAGGAUACGGUUAACGGAGCGAAAGCGACGUUCAACCGCAAAAGAAGCAGAGGGGGCUUAGUGGUGGGGUGACUGCGUACCUUUUGUAUAAUGGGUCAGCGACUUAUAUUCUGUAGCAAGGUUAACCGAAUAGGGGAGCCGGAGGGAAACCGAGUCUUAAUUGGGCGUUAAGUUG